rnacentral:rRNA from 1 species
GACGAACGCUGGCGGCGUGCUUAACACAUGCAAGUCGAACGGUAAGGCUCCAGCUUGCAGGGGUACACGAGUGGCGAACGGGUGAGUAACACGUGGGUGACCUGCCCUGCACUUCGGGAUAAGCCUGGGAAACUGGGUCUAAUACCGGAUAGGACCGCACCGUGAGGGUGUGGUGGAAAGUUUUUUCGGUGUGGGAUGGGCCCGCGGCCUAUCAGCUUGUUGGUGGGGUAAUGGCCUACCAAGGCGGCGACGGGUAGCCGGCCUGAGAGGGUGGACGGCCACAUUGGGACUGAGACACGGCCCAGACUCCUACGGGAGGCAGCAGUGGGGAAUAUUGCACAAUGGGCGGAAGCCUGAUGCAGCGACGCCGCGUGGGGGAUGACGGCCUUCGGGUUGUAAACUCCUUUCACCAUCGACGAAGGGUUUCUGACGGUAGAUGGAGAAGAAGCACCGGCUAACUACGUGCCAGCAGCCGCGGUAAUACGUAGGGUGCGAGUGUUGUCCGGAAUUACUGGGCGUAAAGAGCUCGUAGGUGGUUUGUCGCGUCGUCUGUGAAGUUCCGGGGCUUAACUCCGGGCGUGCAGGCGAUACGGGCAUAACUUGAGUACUGUAGGGGAGACUGGAAUUCCUGGUGUAGCGGUGAAAUGCGCAGAUAUCAGGAGGAACACCGGUGGCGAAGGCGGGUCUCUGGGCAGUGACUGACGCUGAGGAGCGAAAGCAUGGGGAGCGAACAGGAUUAGAUACCCUGGUAGUCCAUGCCGUAAACGGUGGGCGCUAGGUGUGGGUUUCCUUCCACGGGAUCCGUGCCGUAGCUAACGCAUUAAGCGCCCCGCCUGGGGAGUACGGCCGCAAGGCUAAAACUCAAAGGAAUUGACGGGGGCCCGCACAAGCGGCGGAGCAUGUGGAUUAAUUCGAUGCAACGCGAAGAACCUUACCUGGGCUUGACAUAUACAGGAUCGCGCCAGAGAUGGUGUUUCCCUUGUGGCUUGUAUACAGGUGGUGCAUGGUUGUCGUCAGCUCGUGUCGUGAGAUGUUGGGUUAAGUCCCGCAACGAGCGCAACCCUUGUCUUAUGUUGCCAGCACGUUGUGGUGGGGACUCGUAAGAAACUGCCGGGGUUAACUCGGAGGAAGGUGGGGAUGACGUCAAAUCAUCAUGCCCCUUAUGUCCAGGGCUUCACACAUGCUACAAUGGUCGGUACAGUGGGUUGCCAGUCCGUGAGGGCGAGCUAAUCCCGCAAAGCCGGCCUCAGUUCGGAUCGGGGUCUGCAACUCGACCCCGUGAAGUCGGAGUCGCUAGUAAUCGCAGAUCAGCAACGCUGCGGUGAAUACGUUCCCGGGCCU